rnacentral:rRNA from 1 species
GACGAACCACACGAACGUUAUUCGGAAUUACUGGGCUUAAAGGGUGCGUAGGCGGCGCAGAAAGUUGGGUGUGAAAUCCCUCGGCUCAACCGAGGAACUGCGCCCAAAACUACUGUGCUUGAGGAAGAUAGAGGUAAGCGGAACUUACGGUGGAGCGGUGAAAUGCGUUGAUAUCGUAAGGAACACCUGUGGCGAAAGCGGCUUACUGGGUCUUUCUGACGCUGAUGCACGAAAGCCAGGGGAGCAA